rnacentral:rRNA from 1 species
AUUGAACGCUGGCGGCAGGCUUAACCCAUGCAAGUCGAACGAGCGGCGGACGGGUGAGUAAUGUCUGGGAAACUGCCUGAUGGAGGGGGAUAACUACUGGAAACGGUAGCUAAUACCGCAUACCAUCGGAUGUGCCCAGAUGGGAUUAGCUAGUAGGUGGGGUAAUGGCUCACCUAGGCGACGAUCCCUAGCUGGUCUGAGAUGAUGACCAGCCACACUGGAACUGAGACACGGUCCAGACUCCUACGGGAGGCAGCAGUGGGGAAUAUUGCACAAUGGGCGCAAGCCUGAUGCAGCCAUGCGGCGUGUAUGAAGAAGGCCUUCGGGUUGUAAAGUACUUUCAGCGGGGAGGCGUUACCCGCAGAAGAAGCACCGGCUAACUCAGUGCCAGCAGCCGCGGUAAUAC